CCUACGGGGCGCAGCAGUGGGGAAUAUUGCGCAAUGGGCGAAAGCCUGACGCAGCGACGCCGCGUGAGGGAUGAAGGCCUUCGGAUCGUAAACCUCUGUUUGCAGGGAAGUACGGUCCCUGUGCUAAUCAGCAGUGCAUUGACGGUACCUGCAAUGGACGCACCGGCUAACUCCGUGCCAGCAGCCGCUGUAAUACGGAGGGUGCGAGCGUUAAUCGGAAUUACUGGGCGUACAGCGCUCGUAGGCGGUAUGUCAAGUCAAUGGUGAAAUCCCCGCGCUGAACGUGGGAACUGCCUUUGAAACUGGCAGACUGGAGUGUGUGAGAGGAGAGUGGAAUUCCAGGUGUAGGAGUGAAAUCCGUAGAUAUCAGGAGGAACAUCAGUGGCGAAGGCGACUAACUGGCACAUAACUGACGCUGAGGAGCGAAAGUGUGGGUAGCAAACAGGAUUAGAUACCCCUGUAGUC
rnacentral:rRNA from 1 species